rnacentral:lncRNA from 1 species
UGUCGGGGGAGGAUGGCAGAGGAGAAAUGAAGGCUGUAAAAAGGUCCCCACGUUUCACUCCAAGUCUUGCUUUAGUGCAAGCUCCUACAUAGGGUUAAAGUCUGCUGGGACCUGAACCAGAAUUGGACUCCUGCUGCCUUCCCUAUCCUAUCUCCUCAUAGAAGAUGAGCAGCCCUAGGGGCUACUCCAGAGCCAGAACUCCUGCCACAUCUUCAACAGUGCCCAAGGAGGUGAUUAUGCUGAGUAUGAAGCCCCCAAUUUGGAGAAAUGCAUUUACAUGAGGUCACCACUCCCACAUCAACCAUGAAAAUUGUGUAACGAAACAAUUUUGCCACCAGCCUGAUGCAGGUGACCAAAUCUUAUGGGGAGUGCAGGCCGCUGCCAAAAUAGUUAAUACAACUCCUUUCUAUGUGGUUUCUAAUAAAUAUUUUAAGCACUUAAGUUUUAGUCUAGGU